ACUGGAGGCCCGAACCAGUACACGUUGAAAAGUGUUUGGAUGAGCUGUGGGUAGGGGUGAAAGGCCAAUCAAACUGAGAGAUAGCUCGUACUCCCCGAAAUGCUUUUAGGAGCAGCGUGUGGAGAUGUUUGUUAGAGGUAGAGCUACCGAUUGGACUAGGGGGAGUCACAUCCUACCAAAUCCAGACGAACUCCGAAUGCUAAUAAAUUAUCCAUGCAGUGAGGGUUUGGGUGCUAAGGUCCAAAUCCGAGAGGGAAAGAACCCAGACCUACGGCUAAGGUCCCUAAAUCCGCGCUAAGUUGAACUAAGGAGGUCCAAUUGCUUAGACAGCCAGGAUGUUGGCUUGGAAGCAGCCAUUCAUUUAAAGAGUGCGUAACAGCUCACUGGUCGAGCGAUAGGGCAUCGAUAAUAAUCGGGCAUCAAGUGCGGUACCGAAGCCUAGGAUAGAAAUAUGGUAGGGGAGCAUUCUCUGUGGGGCGAAGGUGUGCUGUGAGGCAUGCUGGAGGUAUCAGAAGUGCGAAUGCUGACAUGAGUAGCGUUAAAGGGGGUGAAAAGCCCCCUCGCCGUAAGCGCAAGGUUUCCU
rnacentral:rRNA from 1 species